UGAGCUGAAUUUGUACCUAAUGCAAAUGAGAUGCACCUGUUGGCUCAGACUAGCCACUGACUGGUCAGUCACAUGUGGGGAUGGAGCUUGGCAUUUCAACCUGAAAGUUUCAAACCCAGGACUCUAAGGAAACAGUGAUACCAUGAAUAGUAAUGAGAAAGUUGGGAGGGGAGUCAUGUGAGUAGUUGCCCUUUAAGAAAAGUGCCUCUAGAGGAACCAACUCAGAGAAGAGUGUCAGCAUCCAAGUGGGUACUUGCUUAUUUUUAGCGGCAGUUUGGGUAUCCUUUACUUCACUGUCAAUCCAGCCCUGCUUUCCUCCCUCAUUUAGGAAGAAAGCUGAUAGGUUGUUCCUUUCUUUUGGGAGUAGGCUGUUUACUGUAUACAAUUGGCAAUCUUGAUAUGUUACUUCCUUUCAAAAGGGGGCUUACACCUCACCGUAGUUCUCAUUCAUAACAAGUGCAGUGAUUUGCUUUGGGGGAGUUAGGAAAAUCAUUUCUGUUAACUUCCUAUUUUCUAUUUUGGGCUUCUGAGCAGAACUUCCCAUUUGAGGGGGACCAGGCAGAAAACACAAAGCUGGAAUUUUCUCCUGAAGUUGGUCUGCCAAGGGAAUAACGAUGAAUUUUCAUUUUCAAGUAAAUGUUACUGCAUCAAGUUUAAUGUCCAAUAAAUGUGAAAAAGAAGGUUCCAGCCUGUUGGAAAAGAUGGCGGAAACAAUUACAUUCCAGGCUUGGAGCUUACUGAAGUCGUCUACCAGAUUCAGACCGAGUUUAGAUCCUUUCGGGCUGGUGCCUCCCUUUCAGUUUGGAGGAGGCUGUUUUUUUCACUUGAUCUUUUCUGCAGAGGAAACGAAACUGAGGGGCAGUGGAGAGCGUAGGUGAGGGGUGCAGUAAAGUCUCCAGGCUGCUGUGCUGUACCACGUACCUCAGACAGCAGAUGCUGCCGAGCUGCUUUUGAAAAAAUGUUGGCUCUUACAUGUCAUGCUAAAAAUAAAUACUGAAAAAGACCUGAAAACUUGAAAGAACUAGAGAAGCAUGCUGUGGUUAUACAAAAACGAUAUGCAAGAUCAUGGAAGUAAAACGCACACGCACAACAAAAAAUUGUAUAAAGUAAGACAUAUUAGAUCUUUCUUAAGUUCCAAAGCAGCUUUUGAUGAUAUAUUCAGAACAGAAGGAGGAAAGGCAUCAGAAAACUGGAUAGUCCCCAGGAGACUGCAAAAAGCUAUAGAAAAAGGUUUAAUAACAUUGGCGGGGCAAAUAGAAUAAAUACUCUCUUCCCCCCAAGGUUUAUCAUCUCUUUCUUUUCCUUUUUGAAUUCACCUUCAAAAACCUUACACAACCACCCCUGCCUGGCUAACUCACACUUGCUCCUCUGUUUGAACUCUAGUUGUCAGCACAUCUUACAGAAGUCCCCCUGAGGCACUCAUUGUGUAGCUUAUCACUCUGUUUAGGCUCUAAGCUUUCUAAGGUCAAGUAACCUCUUUCUUACCUUUGGAAUUUCCUCUACAGUUACGGUACAAUGAUUGUGUCUGCAGAUUGUGUUUAACCAAUGUUACCUAAUUCAUUGGAUACUUCCAGAGUAAGAAAAAAAAUUUAAUAGAAAGAUAGAAAGAUAUUCAACUUUAUUCCUAUUAUUAAUAUUGAUGUGGCAUAUUCUGAAAAAUCUGUAAAGACCAGGUAAGAUAAAAGCUGGAGGAAUAAGAUAUAGAUACAAUAAUGAGUGACAUUUAAUAAAGUUUUGUCAUAAAUAAUAAAGACAAUAAGUAAUUAUGAUACAACAGUUUUAUAUUUGUUUAGCUCUUGACUCUUCUGAAAGCACUUUCAUGUAAUAAAGAACAGAGUGCUAAAUGAAGGAAUAGAAAUAAAUGCAAGGAAUACUAAAGCCAUGCAGAGAGAGAAAAAAAACCAAAGGACAAAAGAAAGGCAAAGCAAAAAAAAAAGCCAAGAAUAAAAAAAGGAGAAUUUCCUAAUAACUUGGAAUAGUUGGCUAAAUUGUACACUGGGUAGUGUUGAAUAGUUAUUUACAACAUUGGUGACCUUUUCUCAGGCAGGGUACGCUGACUAUAGACACCGCAUUGUUUUCUGCCAGCCAGUGAGGGAGGGAGUGACCUGGUUUCUCUAACACUUUCUCCCCACGCCCGUUCACUAGCAUUUAUACUGGUACUAGUGUGGCUAACUGUGCUCCAGAUGUUCUACCUGCAUCAUCAAAAAAUACAGAGUUCUGAGUGAUACUGGACUUUGGUCAUUUAUUUCAGUCACUUCACAAAAGCUGCGUGAGGCUUGUUGCAGAAAGCACUACUACUUUUUGUUCUUUUUGUAAAGUUCAGAACAUUUCUGAACCUUUGGUAAGUUGAGAACUGCAGUAGGUCUCAAGUUAUCAUCAAUAAUGCUGAAUGUAAUAACGUAUAAAGAAGUUUCAAGACGAAGACAUCCUAGCUAUGUUCUAGAACUGAAAAAAUGCAGAUAAAAAACUUCUGCCAGUCACAUGUCAGAGGCCACACCAGGUCUUAAAGUGACCUUUAUUCCUGCUUUGGAGGGAUGAGCUGUGUAUUUUAAAUGAUGUUGCAGCAAGAGGACCUCCAGCAGCAUCCCUGAGAUGGCAAGCUUCUCUCGCUCUGCAGUCUGUUCUGUUCUGGAAUUAUAUUCAUUAGUUGAAGGGCCGAUGACCCAUACUGAAAUGUCAGGAUUAUUGAAAAAAAAUUUUGAGUGAGUAAUCAAAAUAGUCAUAUUUAUUCAGGUUUAAAACUAAAUUACUCCUCCCUGAAUAUGGAGGCAUAGAAGGCACAGAAAAGCUUAUUUUGUCCAACAUCCUGAGCCUACAGACAAGGAAGCCAUCUGCAGCAUGUCAUUGAGUUACCUUCUUCAUUUACCUGUAGUGUCUUGAGAAAUGUGAAGGUCUUUGAGCAUCUCAGCCAGACUAAUUUGAGGUGCCCCUUCAUCAUCUGUGUCAUUUUCCACAGGGAUGGUUGACUCUCUGUAAAUGAUUACAUUUUUUUCCAAUUGCCUCAUCUUCAAGAUCUUCAAGGAAAUCUUGGUAUUGCCUUUCACCGUCUGUAUCCAUGUUUUCUCUAUCUCUUGCGAGCUCUUUCAGUUUCCAGUUCCUAAGACGCUGAUGUUCGGUAUGGUCAUGGCUCUUUUGAUUAAUUCCACAUUUGGGACUCUGACUUCAUUUUAUUGACAUGAUCAUCAUUUAAGUUAUAGUCUGCCAAGUCAACCCCCAAUGUCAGGUCUCCAGGAUUCAGAAGAUGUCCCCAAUGAGCAAGACAAAAAUACUGUUUAUCUGUAUUCAUUUCAGAUGUUUCUGUACCCAGACUUCCCCAAGCAUAUGCUUUUUGAUAUCAUUCCAGCACCUGCUUUGCAUUUUAGAUCUUGAACUAUGCUGCAUUCCAUCACAACAAACUCCUCUAGCUGUUUGGGAUGAGUUUAGUUAAUUUUUGAAAGCAGAUUGGAGGAAAAUACUGGUGAUGGUAAAGAUGAAACUCAUCAGAUUGUUAGAAAGUUUUGCCAGUGUCAAAUGAGAAGUGAGAUUCCCCUGAAUUAAAUCUGCUUCCCAUUGACAACACUAGCACAAAGAGAGUUUUAUUUUAAUUGCCUAUUUGCUGUGAAUCAUCUGUCUUCAAGAUUCAGAGAUCAACACCCCUGUUUUGGCAAUAAUUCUACUCCUCACCCUUCAGAUUCUGAAACAGAGCAGAGAGCUCUGGGUUCUGGUCCUAGCACUGGCCCUUAGCAGCUGUCGGAACUGGGUCAGAUCAUUUAAUCUCGUUCAGCUGUAGUUGCCUCAGCUGUCACAGGGGUUAAUUCAAUCAGUCCUGCUUUACAGUAAAUAUAAUUUCCAUUUCUAAAUUCCUGCCACAUGUCAGAUUCUCUGUUGUGCCUUUUGCAUAUGUUGUCUUUAAGUCUCUCAUUAACUGUCCAAAGAAAGAAUAGUUACCAUUCGGGUUUUACAGUUGAGAAAGCUAAGGCUCAGAUGCCUUCAAUGACCUGCCCAAAGUCACACAGGUAACAAGUGGCAAACCUGGGAUAUAAAGCUUCAAGUAUAUGUUCACAGAGCCCCUUCUCAGUCCUCCAUGAGACCCUGAGGUCAUUUAAAAUGACAUUUUUGUGUGAAAGUGUUUGGAAAAUAGUAAAGUUUCUGGUAAAUGCAUAUUAUUAUUAUUAUUAUUAUUACUAUCCUAAAGAAUAUAAAUUAAUUAACAUGCAUAGUACCAAGGUGCUUAGUACCAAGUUGGGUAUCAUUUUGGAUAAUCUAUGGAUUUAGUACUUCUCUCAAUGUUUGUAUAUGUAAGGUAUAUUAUAAGUAAAUCUUCAAUAUUUCCAAAUGGUGGCCACUUCCAUCCUUGGUAUCAUGUAUUAGUGCUCUUGGAUCCUUUUU